rnacentral:rRNA from 1 species
CCUACGGGUGGCAGCAGUGAGGAAUAUUGGUCAAUGGACGCAAGACUGAACCAGCCAUGCCGCGUGCGGGAAGAAGGCACUGUGUAUCGUAAACCUCUUUUGUCAGGGGGCAAAGGCGGAGACGUGUACCCGUUUGAAUGUACCUGACGAAAAAGAAUCGGCUAACUCCGUGCCAGCAGCCGCGGUAAUACGGAGGAUGCGAGCGUUAUCCGGAUUUAUUGGGUUUAAAGGGUGCGCAGGCGGUCGGUUAAGUCAGAGGUGAAAUCCCGGGGCUCAACCUCAGCCUUGCCUUUGAUACUGGUCGGCUAGAGAGUGGUAGAGGUAGGCGGAAUGCGAGGUGUAGCGGUGAAAUGCUUAGAGAUCGGGCAGAAUACCGAUGGCGAAGGCAGCUUGCCGGGCCAAGACUGACGCUGAGGCACGAAAGCGUGGGGAGCGAACAGGAUUAGAUACCCGAGUAGUC